AGUGAACGCUGGCGGCGUGCUUAACACAUGCAAGUCGAACGAGAACGGAUUAUAGCUUGCUAUAAUUGUCAGCUAAGUGGCGCACGGGUGAGUAAUGUAUAGGUAAUAUGCCUUUUACUAAGGAAUAACAAAUGGAAACGUUUGCUAAUACCUUAUACUCCUUAUUAACCUAAGUUAAUAAGGGAAAGAUUUAUUGGUAAGAGAUUAGCCUGUAUUGUAUCAGUUAGUUGGUGGGGUAAUGGCUUACCAAGACUAUGACACAUAACUGGUUUGAGAGGAUGAUCAGUCACACUGGAACUGAGACACGGUCCAGACUCCUACGGGAGGCAGCAGUGGGGAAUAUUGCACAAUGGACGGAAGUCUGAUGCAGCAACGCCGCGUGGAGGAUGACACAUUUCGGUGCGUAAACUCCUUUUAUAUGAGAAGAUAAUGACGGUAUUAUAUGAAUAAGCACCGGCUAACUCCGUGCCAGCAGCCGCCGCCG
rnacentral:rRNA from 1 species